rnacentral:rRNA from 1 species
GAUGAACGCUGGCGGCGUGCCUAACACAUGCAAGUCGAGCGAACGGACGAGAAGCUUGCUUCUCUGAUGUUAGCGGCGGACGGGUGAGUAACACGUGGAUAACCUACCUAUAAGACUGGGAUAACUUCGGGAAACCGGAGCUAAUACCGGAUAAUAUUUUGAACCGCAUGGUUCAAAAGUGAAAGACGGUCUUGCUGUCACUUAUAGAUGGAUCCGCGCUGCAUUAGCUAGUUGGUAAGGUAACGGCUUACCAAGGCAACGAUGCAUAGCCGACCUGAGAGGGUGAUCGGCCACACUGGAACUGAGACACGGUCCAGACUCCUACGGGAGGCAGCAGUAGGGAAUCUUCCGCAAUGGGCGAAAGCCUGACGGAGCAACGCCGCGUGGGUGAUGAAGGUCUUCGGAUCGUAAAACUCUGUUAUUAGGGAAGAACAUAUGUGUAAGUAACUGUGCACAUCUUGACGGUACCUAAUCAGAAAGCCACGGCUAACUACGUG